CAGUGAUAAUGAUGACUUGGAUGGACUAGAGUCUCUGAGCUUUUUUUUCUGAGGAUCUUUGGAACCACCUGAUCCACUCACU